CCUACGGGAGGCAGCAGUGGGGAAUAUUGGGCAAUGGGCGCAAGCCUGAACCAGCAACGCCGCGUGAAGGAAGAAGGCUCUCCGGUUGGAAACUUCCUUUGACCGGGAAGAGAAGAAGACGGUAACUGUCCAAUAAGGCACGGCUAACUACGAGCCAGCAGCCGCGGGAAUACGUAGGUGGCAAGCGUUGUCCGGAUUUACUGGGUUUAAAGGGCGUGUAGCCGGUUUGGCAAGUCAGAUGUGAAAUCCUGCGGCUUAACCGCAGAACUGCAGUUGAAACUGUUGAUCUUGAGUACUGGAGAGGCAGACGGAAUGCCUAGUGUAGCGGUGAAAUGCGUAGAUAUUAGGCGGAACACCAGUGGCGAAGGCGGUGUGCUGGACAGCAACUGACGGUGAGGCGCGAAAGCGUGGGGAGCAAACAGGAUUAGAUACCCCUGUAGUC
rnacentral:rRNA from 1 species